GAAAUGCGAUAAGUAGUGUGAAUUGCAGAAUUCAGUGAAUCAUCGAAUCUUUGAACGCACAUUGCGCCCCAUGGAAUACCAAGGGGCAUGCCUGUUCGAGCGUCAUUUGUACCCUCAAGCUUUGCUUGGUGUUGGGCGUCUUGUCUCCCUCUCGGGAGACUCGCCUCAAAACAAUUGGCAGCCAGUGUUUGGUUUUGAAGCGCAGCACAAGUCGCGAUUCAACUCGAGUUCGCGUUUCUGCUGCGCUCGAAGCCGACGUGAGGGCCGCCAAUGGAUUUGAGGUGAGUCCACGCGCGGGGGCGGGACAGGCACCCAACACCAAGCAGUGCUUG
rnacentral:misc_RNA from 1 species